UCUCUGAAAUGGUUUGUGUAAUGUACCGAGGUCAGCAGCUCUUGCCAUUAUAUAUCAAUACUAAGAUUUCCUGGUCUAUUUUAAAGAUUCAAAGGAAAAUGGAUAUUUAACGAAGAACGACAUGUGUUUAUGCCCAAUAAAGCCUUGCAGCUUUAUGUAGAAAGUAAAGUAUAGAUAGGAAAGCUAAUAUUGGUGUGUCAAACAGUAAUUGCUUAUAGGCUGACCCUGUUAGGAGUGUCGGAGGGGUAAGGCUCAGACCUGAGGAUGGAUGAUACACAUGUCAAAUCUUAAACUUCCUGCUCAGACUACAAAAAGAAAAGGUUGUCCCUUAUACUGGUGGGUUUUGAUUGUUAAAUAUGGAUUCUCUGAAAGUGCACCUCAACCCUUGAAGUUUACAAGAAAAUCUCAUCUGUUUUGUUUCAACAGGCCUUUGUUUAAGAAUAAAACUUCAGAGAUGUUUGCCUUUUAGACAUAAGCUGGAAAUCUACAUAUCUGAAGGGACACAUUCUACUGAAGAGGACAUCAACAAGCAAAUCAACGACAAAGAGAGAGUCGCAGCUGCCAUGGAGAACCCCAACUUGCGGGAGAUCGUGGAGCAGUGCGUUACAGAGCCUGACUAGGAGCUCGAAUACCCACAGUUACUGUUUUGAUACAUUUCUUAAGCUAUCUUUGUUUAAAAGGAAAAAGAAAAUAAUAAUAAUCAAGGCCUUGAGUUUCAUACUUGAGUUCUUUUUAUCCUCCACAUGUUUUUUAAAAGAAAAUGUUUAUAAGAUAGAUUUAAAUUAUGAGGAAUUAUUCUCUAAAAUAAAGUGAAGUGUAUAGUGUUAAGAGUUUGUAAUUUCUGGUGUCCAGAGAAAUAUUUUAUGAUUAAAAACCAAAACAACAUAAGUAUUGCCUUCUGAUAGACAUUGUGAUAUAAAUUCAGUUUUGCAAGUUAAAUUUCUACAUUGUUUCAAUCACUGCACUGUAAAAAUAAAACAGAUUCUUGUACUGAAA